rnacentral:rRNA from 1 species
CAGUAGCCGCGGUAAUACGAAGGGGGCUAGCGUUGCUCGGAAUGACUGGGCGUAAAGGGCGCGUAGGCGGCGAUCAAAGUCAGGCGUGAAAUUCCUGGGCUCAACCUGGGGGCUGCGCUUGAUACUUGGUUGCUUGAGUGGGGAAGAGGGUCGUGGAAUUCCCAGUGUAGAGGUGAAAUUCGUAGAUAUUGGGAAGAACACCGGUGGCGAAGGCGGCGACCUGGUCCUUGACUGACGCUGAGGCGCGAAAGCGUGGGGAGCAAACAGGAUUAGAGACCCGCGUAGUCCCUGUCUCUUAUAC